NNCUUUGCGCAGUGGCAGUAUUGUAGCCAAUGAGGUUUAUCCGAGGCGCGAUUACUGCUAAUUGAUAGGUUGGACGAUAGUGAUAAAAGAGAAAGCAGGGAAUCACACCCUUUAUUUAACAGAGGCCCAUCUGUGGG
rnacentral:snRNA from 1 species